GCCAUAAACAGAAGGUCUCCGAGGUGUCCUCUGAGAACCACCCGUUCUGUAACAUCAAGUGCUACAUCGAUGGCCCUUACGGGACCCCCAACCGCAGGAU